rnacentral:miRNA from 1 species
CCCCCCGUGCCCUCCAGACU